rnacentral:rRNA from 1 species
GACGAACGCUGGCGGCGUGCCUAAUACAUGCAAGUAGAACGCAGUUGCGAACGGGUGAGAAACGCGUAGGUAACUGCCUGGAAGCGGGGGAUACCAAACGGAAACGAUAGCUAAAACAGCAUACUACCAGAUGGACCUGCGUUGUAUUAGUUAGUUGGUGGGUUAACGGCUCACCAAGGCAACGAUACAUACCCGACCUGAGAGGGUGAGCGGCCACCCUGGGACUGAGAAACGGCCCAGGAGCCUACGGGAGGCAGCAGUAGGGUAUCUUCGGUAAUGGGGGGAAACCUGAACGAGCAACGCCGCGUGAGUGAAGAAGGUUUUCGGAUCGUAAAGCUUUGUUGUUAAGGAAGCGGUACUUAACCAGAAAGGGACGGCUAACUACGUGCCAGCAGCCGCGGUAAUUC